rnacentral:rRNA from 1 species
AGCAGCCGCGGUAAUUCCAGCUCCAAUAGCGUAUAUUAAAGUUGUUGCAGUUAAAAAGCUCGUAGCUGAAUUUCGGGAUCAAUUAAUUGGUCGUGCCUCUGGUACGUACUGAUUUUAUUGGUUUCUCCCUUCUGACGAACCAUGAUGUCAUUAAUUUGGUGUCGUGAAGAAUCAGGACUGUUACUUUGAAAAAAUUAGAGUGUUUAAAGCAAGCUAACGCUUGAAUACAUUAGCAUGGAAUAAUGAAAUAGGACGUUUGAUCCUAUUUUGUUGGUUUCUAGGAUCGACGUAAUGAUUAAUAGGGAUAGUUGGGGGCAUUAGUAUUCAAUUGUCAGAGGUGAAAUUCUUGGAUUUAUUGAAGACUAACUACUGCGAAAGCAUUUGCCAAGGAUGUUUUCAUUAAUCAAGAACGAAAGUUAGGGGAUCGAAGACGAUCAGAUACCGUCGUAGUCUUAACCAUAAACUAUGCCGACUAGGGAUCGGAUGAUGUUAAUUUAAUGACUCA